CCCCAGACUCCUACGGGAGGCAGCAGUGGGGGAUAUUGCACAAUGGGGGGAACCCUGAUGCAGCGACGCCGCGUGGGUGAAGGAGCACCUCGGUGCGUAAAGCCCUAUCGGCAGGGAAGAAACAGACGGUACCUGACUAAGAAGCCCCGGCUAACUACGUGCCAGCAGCCGCGGGAAUACGUAGGGGGCAAGCGUUAUCCGGAUUUACUGGGUGUAAAGGGAGCGUAGACGGUUAUGUAAGUCUGGAGUGAAAGCCCGGGGCCCAACCCCGGGACUGCUUUGGAAACUGUGUAACUGGAGUACAGGAGGGGCAGGCGGAAUUCCUGGUGUAGCGGUGAAAUGCGUAGAUAUCAGGAGGAACACCGGCGGCGAAGGCGGCCUGCUGGACUGAAACUGACGUUGAGGCUCGAAAGCGUGGGGAGCAAACAGGAUUAGAUACCCCCGUAC
rnacentral:rRNA from 1 species